CCUACGGGUGGCAGCAGUGGGGAAUAUUGCACAAUGGCGGAAACCCUGAUGCAGCAACGCCGCGUGAGUGAAGAAGUAUUUCGGUAUGUAAAGCUCUAUCAGCAGGGAAGAAGAAAGACGGUACCUGACUAAGAAGCCCCGGCCAACUACGUGCCAGCAGGCGCGGUAAUACGGAGGGGGCAAGCGUUAGCCGGAUUUACUGGGUGUAAAGGGCGCGUAGACGGCUGUGCAAGUCUGAAGUGAAAGCCCGGGGCUCAACCGCGGAACUGCUUUGGAAACUGUUUAGCUUGAGUACUGGAGAGGCAGGCGGAAUUCGUAGUGUAGCGGUGAAAUGCAUAGAUAUUAGGAGGAACACCGGUGGCGAAGGCGGCCUACUGGACAGAAACUGACGUUGAGGCUCGAAAGCGUGGGGAGCAAACAGGAUUAGAUACCCGUGUAGUC
rnacentral:rRNA from 1 species